AUGAACGCUGGCGGCGUGCCUAAGACAUGCAAGUCGAGUGGGUUUAGACCCACGGCAAACGGGUGAGUAAUACCUAGGAACGUACCUUGAGUUGAGCAUAACCUGCCGAAAGGCAGGAUAAUUCUCAAUGUGGCCGCAAGGCUAAAGUCGCAAGACGCUCAAGAAACGGCCUGGGCACCAUCAGCUAGUUGGUAGGGUAAAAGCCUACCAAGGCUAUGACGGUUAGGGGCCCCGAGAGGGGAGACCCCCACACUGGAACUGCGACACGGUCCAGACUCCUACGGGAGGCAGCAGUUUGGAAUUUUGGACAAUGGGCGAAAGCCUGAUCCAGCGACGCCGCGUGGACGAUGAAGGCCUUCGGGUCGUAAAGUCCUUUUAUCAGGGAAGAAUAUUUUGACGGUACCUGAUGAAUAAGAGGUUGCUAACUCUGU
rnacentral:rRNA from 1 species